AGCGAACGCUGGCGGCAGGCCUAACACAUGCAAGUCGAACGAACUCUUCGGAGUUAGUGGCGGACGGGUGAGUAACACGUGGGAACGUGCCUUUUGGUUCGGAAUAACUCAGGGAAACUUGUGCUAAUACCGAAUGUGCCCUUCGGGGGAAAGAUUUAUCGCCAUUAGAGCGGCCCGCGUCUGAUUAGCUAGUUGGUGAGGUAACGGCUCACCAAGGCGACGAUCAGUAGCUGGUCUGAGAGGAUGACCAGCCACACUGGGACUGAGACACGGCCCAGACUCCUACGGGAGGCAGCAGUGGGGAAUCUUGCGCAAUGGGCGAAGGCCUGACGCAGCCAUGCCGCGUGAAUGAUGAAGGUCUUAGGAUUGUAAAAUUCUUUCACCGGGGACGAUAAUGACGGUACCCGGAGAUGAAGCCCCGGCUAACUUCGUG
rnacentral:rRNA from 1 species